rnacentral:rRNA from 1 species
GUGGGGAAUAUUGCACAAUGGGGGAAACCCUGAUGCAGCAACGCCGCGUGAGCGACGAAGGCCUUCGGGUCGUAAAGCUCUGUCUUCGCUGACGAAUAAAUGACGGUAAGCGAGGAGGAAGCCACGGCUAACUACGUGCCAGCAGCCGCGGUAAUACGUAGGUGGCAAGCGUUGUCCGGAAUUAUUGGGCGUAAAGGGUGCGUAGGCGGUUUUUUAAGUGGGAUGUGAAAUACCUAGGCUUAACUUAGGAAUGGCAUUCCAAACUGGAAGACUAGAGUGCAGGAGAGGAAAGUGGAAUUCCCAGUGUAGCGGUGAAAUGCGUAGAGAUUGGGAGGAACACCAGUGGCGAAGGCGACUUUCUGGACUGUAACUGACGCUGAGGCACGAAAGCGUGGGGAGCAAACAGGAUUAGAUACCCGAGUAGUCC